UACGUAGGGUGCAAGCGUUGUCCGGAAUUAUUGGGCGUAAAGAGCUCGUAGGCGGUUUGUCGCGUCGGGAGUGAAAACCUUGGGCUUAACUCAGGGCUUGCUUUCGAUACGGGCAGACUAGAGGUAUGCAGGGGAGAACGGAAUUCCUGGUGUAGCGGUGAAAUGCGCAGAUAUCGGGAAGAACACCCGUGGCGAAGGCGGCUCUCUGGGACGGUACUGACGCUGAGACGCGAAAGCGUGGGGAGCGAACAGG
rnacentral:rRNA from 1 species